GUGAUGAUGGCGGUGGAGUUGGUGGCUACCAGAGGAGUGGCGGUAGGUCUGGGGCAAGUGGCCGAUGGGACAUGCGGCGGCAGUACUAGGUGCGGCGCUAGGGUUUCAGACUUUCUGAAACCCUAGUUUUGGCUGUUAGCUUACUGGGCUAAGACAUUGGGCCUCGGGUUUGGGCCUGUUCUGUAAUGGGUUGGGUAGGUUAGGUUAAUGGUAAUUGGGUCUGUUUGUAAUUGGGUUCCGGGUUAGGCUAGUUGGGUGAGUUAAUUGGUUUUGGUUCUUGGGUCCGGGUCUGGGCAAAAUUGGGUUCUAC
rnacentral:lncRNA from 1 species